rnacentral:rRNA from 1 species
UACGAAGGGGGCUAGCGUGCUCGGAAUCACUGGGCGUAAAGGGUGCGUAGGCGGGUCUUUUAAGUCAGGGGUGAAAUCCUGGAGCUCAACUCCAGAACUGCCUUUGAUACUGAGGAUCUUGAGUUCGGGAGAGGUGAGUGGAACUGCGAGUGUAGAGGUGAAAUUCGUAGAUAUUCGCAAGAACACCAGUGGCGAAGGCGGCUCACUGGCCCGAUACUGACGCUGAGGCACGAAAGCGUGGGGAGCAAACAGGG